CGAGGGGGAGGCAGCGCUGGGGCGGCCGCUCCGAUCCCGGCUCCCUCCGUCCCUCGGCGGGCAGCUCCCGCCGGCGAGCCGCUGGCCGGCGGCGGGACCUAUAUGCUCUCGCGGAAGGUUACUGCUGCCCGGCACGGCAGAGCCCGACGGAAGCGGUGCUGAGGCAUCUGAGGCAGCACUUUGUCAAGGAGCGCCUGAUUGGCUAACGGGACUCCGCAAUGGUUAUCUGCUAAGAGUCAAGGCCUCUGAUUGGCCGCGCGGUACCUGCAAUGCGUCAAGUGAGGAUGCUGGGGUGCGCGUGCCAGAGCGCUGCCGGGGGGCGGCCGCGGCCCCGCCGGGAAUGGCGGCCCGCACCGGCGCUGUCCGCAGCACCGGCCAGCUCCGGCCGCUCUCGGCACUUCUGGGCAGCAUCAGCAGUCCCAGCGGAAGAUUUGCCGUCUCUUCGUACUGCUGCAGCUUGCAGCAAUAGCAAUAGCUUUGCUGAUGAGCCAGAGCUGGCAGGAAGAAACUGUUCCUCAGUCAGUGACCUCUUCAGAGCAGGGUUUCUACGUAAAAAAGCGGCAGAAAGACAAAGCCGCUUUUCUCAAUCCUUUUCCACAACACAGGGUACCAGAGGUGCAAAGUGUGGCAGAACAAACCUGCUUGGGCUGUCCUUCCACUGCCCGUGUGAGAAGCGUCUCUUAGACCGCUGCUCCAAGUGACAGCUUGAGUGGCAGCUGGGGGAGGACAUGCACGGCGAAGCGAUGACUGAUCGCUGAAAUAUCUUGCUGAAACGCUGUAAAAUCUUUCAACACAAAAGAGAUGCUUCUGCAAAAUUAGCCCUGAAGUGCGAAGCUGUGCCGAGGCACGCAAGGUCUGCCAUCUUAUGGAGCCUGAAUGGUACUGCCAAAUAACAGAACGUGGAGCUACAUGUUCAUGUUGAAUAAGUGAAUAGUUUGAAUUUUUCCUUUACAGGUGAAAAGGAUUCUUCAGGAAGACCUUAUUACUUUGCUUUUGAAAAGUUUGAG